CAUUUUCUUGUAUUCAAAGUAUCUUAAGUUAAGAAGAGAAUAAGAUUCUUACAUCUUGAUGAAGAGGAAUGGGAAGCCGAAAUCUAAACUGAAACAGAGGCGUCACCCAAUUAUCAAUUGGUAAGUGAUAUCUAUGUUUCGAUCUGUAUCUCGGCCUUUCACUCCUCUUCUUCUUGAUGUAAGAAUUUGUUAUUCGACACAUUAGAUGGAGUGAAAAAUCUGUUAGAUAU